AACGAACGGCGGCUGGUUUGAUCGCAGUGUGGUUCUUUGAUAAUGUCAACAAACCGGACAGGGAACUGAAUCCACCGACGCGUGAUACAGGCGGAAAUGGAAAGAAGGGAGGAGAUGCAGGAUAAUAAGAGAGAAAAAGAAAGAGAGAAGGUGAUGAAGAUGAGGGAGGAAGAGCAGGCAGUUGACUGUACAACUGAUCAAUCACUUCCCAGUGGCUCCUCAACCUCUGUCAGGUAUGUAAGUGCUUUUUAAUCAGUCUGUU